rnacentral:lncRNA from 1 species
CGAGGUUCGGAAGUCCAGUCUCAUUAGCAUCCCUUGUCUUCCGCGGUGUUGCAGACUUAUCCUCAGCUCAAGCGAGUUUGGGGCGUUAUGGAGCCAGCCAAGUCUCCCCUUGCUGGCGUGGGUACUUGUGCAGAAACUUCCCGAGGUGCUUCUGAGACUGCACAGUGAAGACCGCCGCACCGGAGGUCAGCGCUCCGCCGCGGACUCCCGGCUGACUCUGCCACUCUCCCAGGAGGAGGCGCUGUGCACCUCUGGGUGGUUUCCAGGGCUCGGCUGGCGGUAGAGGGAGCCUUGAGGUUGGAAAAGAUCUAGAGCUAUAAUCUCCGAAAGGAAGAUUUGUAAUGCACUGCGAGUUAGAAAUGUUUUUCUCACUGCAGCUUCCUUGUUUCAAAAAGAGAAUUUUUGACAGCACUGCAAAGGCACAAGAAACCAGGCACAGUAUAAAAUAUACAAAUAAAACAGGUACCAAGGAACUUAAAACAUUCAACCCAUAACGUCGUCUAGGUUUUUCUGCUUUAAGAAAAUUGACUCAAUUCUUCCAAGAGAAUAACCCUAUUAAAGGCUAAAAAUGGAAGCUCCCAGUUAUGUAGAAGAUAUUUCCAUCUGGAUCCGUCUUAGAAAGUGAAACAGGAAAUGGCUUAAUCCUAGAGGAGAAGAUAAGACUGGAGAAAUUACUGGGGAAAGGGCGGUUAAGGGCUUUCUGCAAGUGCUUGAGACUAUCCCUGUGGCACCCCCUACCACAGCCCUAGGAACAAUAGCAUAAGAUCCUUGCACCAAUAAAUGUCACAGAAAGG